rnacentral:sRNA from 1 species
GGGGGGGAUUACAUACGGUGAAUUUAGUCAGUGUUGGCGCCUGUGUUGGCACCCAAUCCAGGAAACAACAAUAUCAAGUUGAUCACCAACAGUGGGUAUUUAUUUUUUAUUUAUCUAUUUAUUUUUUUGAUCGAAUUUUUUUCUAUUUCGUGUCUUUCCAUUUUUCAAUCGCAUUAUUUCUUCUUAUGAUGAGUUCUUCAGUUUUACUUUUAUAUUCAAACAAUUUAUUCACUGGAAAGCGGAUGUUGAAAAACAUGUUUUAUGAUUAUUCAGUUUCAUACACAUAGAUGCCGCUGAUUGUGCGUUAGCCAUAGGAAAUGCCUACUUGGGACCGUUCACUCAUUCUUUGGCCAGCAAACUGUGUGCGUAAUGAGCAGCCGCCGGAAGCUUUGCUUUAUCCCCGCUUCGCUGAAUCUGAAGCAUCUCCUCGGCCCAUGUACAAAUGCUUUCCACUAAACCUUUAACUUGCUCAUCUGUAUUGUGAGCAUGGAGAAUGAUUCGAACUCUGUCCGCUCCCCUGGGAACAAUAGGGUAGCUGAUGGGGUAGACAGCGUAUCCUGCCAUCUGGAGAUGGAAAGAAAGAUAGAGAUUCUGUUUUGGGCGCGUCCAAACUGGGCAGAUAUGAGAUACGAACGGGAGAUCGUUCCAGUCGUCUUCCUCAUACAGAGGGAUGCGGAGGAUGCCCGCAUCAUUAGCAUCGUCCCAGACUGGGUGCUCGGUGAUGGACUCCAUGAAUAGCUUCACAACGUGCUGUACCCUUUGUUGUGACUAUUGAAGGUAUUAGAAUACUGCGCAAUUUCACAAAGUGAGGGGUAAUCGGAAAAGGUAUGUAACUCACCUCGGCAGUCUUGCCAGUCUUCAACAUUUCAUAACCAACUCUCGUUGCAGCAGUAAUCGUCAAAGCUGGGGCAAUUGAGAAGUGGAUCUGUCUGCCGUGGUUGAGUAACAUGUUGCGGAUUGUUUGAUUACACAUAAUGACGCCUUUUGAAAUAUAUCAGUAUUCACAGAUGGUGAAAAAACUCAUGACAAAAAAAUCGCUUACCACCCAUGCUGGCGAGGGUCUUCCCCAGGGUAUGAUUGCGAAUGGCAAUCUCCUUCUCAAGUCCGAGCUCACUAACAAGGCCUGCGCCGUUUGGACCCAAGUGACCGCUGCUAUGAGCUUCGUCGACAACAAAUUGAGCGUUUCCGUUGGGGAAAACCUGUUUAGCGGCCUCAAGAAGUUCUUUAAGAGGGCAAAUGUCCCCGUCCAUGCUGUAGACAGACUCGACAGAAAUGAGGACCGAGCGAGUGCCGUUGCGGAUCUGCGGUUGGGAAUCGCGAACAGAUAUCAAAGUAUCGGUGAAAGAUUCCACAUUAUUGUGCCGAAACGAUUUCUGGCAAAGAGCCACACUAUGCUUGAAGCCAUCGAGAGCACUUGCGUGCAUGAGCUCGUCGUACACAAUGGCAUCUCCAGGAAGCGGUAUGGCUUGGAAGAUGACAUCAUUGGCAAUAGCCGACGAGGUGACGAUCAGGGCAGUUUCGGCACCGUGAAGAGUAGCUAUCUCAUUCUCAACCGUCUCAAUGUACUCUGAAUUCCCAUCCAGCAAUCGUGCGCCAUGAGCGCCAACGGGGAGCUGGGGAUGCUGAGAAAACUCUUCGAGGAAGGCUUCUCGGAUUGCCCCCGAUUGCCCAAUUCCGAGAACAUCACAGGAGGUGAAGUCAACAAGAUUCGACGUCUGGUUGUGCAGUGCAACAAAGCUAUGUUGCGCUCUGCUGGUAUCGAGCUCCGCUUCCAGGUUGCGGUAGAAUAUUGAGGAGCCCUUGACGCUUGACCCUCGAGACUUUUGGCCAUUGGCCCAUUCCUCGAUGAAUGAGCUUGUUGUUUUUGACAUGAUCAGAUCGUGGUGGACUGGUAUAAUUGAGUCUAAGUUGAUGAUGAGUUUGCGAAUGGAAUGGGGUUGACCUGAUUGCCGGACGAAAGAGCCAGACGGAAGACCGGGCCGUUGGCAAGAAAGACACUCGACAAGGACACACUAAUAUCAGGUUUAUCAACCGGAGCCGUCAGGCCAUGUGCAUGAAAGCCUGCUGCCGUGCCAGGAUCUACUGGUGUACAUACUCCGUACAAAGAAAGGGUGUGCGUAUCCAUGUCGCUUCGGUGCCUAGGCAUUAUGCAAGUGCUCACUCGAUAUCUGCAGCGACGAUGUACAUACAGUACAUGUAGUUGGCUGUUGUCAAGCAUAAACUUUAGUGCCUGAGAAGUGCCAAGCACUCCUCCCAUUCCUACUGUUCUAAAAAGGGAAAAUAAGGAGCUCAAGACUAUAAAUAUCAAAGCCAAGUGCAUGUAAGAAAUGCAUCAUACAUACCUACAUACGCCAGCAACCAGGUCUGACAGUUCGACAAGGGAUUGGUUUCAUAUCAAGGGGUAAUGAAGAGGAACAAGGGGUGGUUGAGAUGCUGGAGGAAUGACAAAGUGUGCAGUCAGUGUACAGAGAAUAAUUCAUCUCUGACAUGCAUCUUGAUGAAGCAGAUGACAGAGAAGCAUGUCAUGUAGCUGAAAUUGUGGGACGUCUAAGUGUAGGCAGCUGAGGAGACUAACCUGGCAGCUGAGGCAUAUAUGUGCGGUGCGCUAGUCCGUGAUCGGCAGCCUAGGGCAAACACCUCCCCUCGGACUAGCAGCCGUACAGAUAUCUAUCUAUCU